UCGAGCAAGGAUGAAAAUCGGACUUAGUGAUCCGGUGGUUCUGCGUGGAAGGGCCAUCGCUCAACGGAUAAAAGCUACCCUGGGGAUAACAGGCUUAUCUCCCCCAAGAGUCCACAUCGACGGGGAGGUUUGGCACCUCGAUGUCGGCUCAUCACAUCCUGGGGCUGUAGUAGGUCCCAAGGGUUGGGCUGUUCGCCCAUUAAAGUGGUACGCGAGCUGGGUUCAGAACGUCGUGAGACAGUUCGGUCCCUAUCCGUCGCAGGCGUAGGAAAUUUGAGAAGACCUGUCCUUAGUACGAGAGGACCGGGAUGGACGUACCUCUGGUGUACCAGUUGUCCUGCCAAGGGCAUGGCUGGGUAGCUAUGUACGGAAUGGAUAAGCGCUGAAAGCAUCUAAGCGCGAAGCCAACUUCAAGAUAAGAUUUCCCACCGCAAGGGUAAGACCCCAGAAAGACUAUCUGGUUGAUAGGUCGAAGGUGUAAGUGCAGCAAUGUAUUUAGCUUAUCGAUACUAAUAGGUCGAGGACUUGACCAAU
rnacentral:rRNA from 1 species